UUUUUUCCCAUAAGUAUUGUUUUUAUUGAACAAGUCAACAAAACAAAGGUUACAAGGCCUAAAAGCCCACAACUAUUUUGCGGAAACAAGAAAGUGAAACUCAAAAGAGCCCACCUAAUUUUACAACGAAGGCAAAAGAAGUUUUAUCGUUUCGACUCUAUCAAAAAUCACGUGUCAGCCUGAGAUUACUAGCGCAACACGUGUUGAUGAGUCAUCAGAAGUUUACCGACAUCAACCACCACUGUCGAGCACCAAUUCCGGUAAGGACAGCAUCGCCGGCAAACAGUCGCACGAAGCUUUUGUUUGUGUUACCGUUUGAUCUGAAUUGAGCUCCAAGAAAGGGAGACAGUAGAACGGAAUCGUAAUAUGCAUCGGAAUAUUCUUCGAUCCUUCAACCCAAGAGGCAAAACCUUGAACAGUUCCUGCAAAUCAAGCUUUUCACUGAAAUCUCUUCAACUUCUAUGAAAUUGAAAACGAUUCUUGUAACACCCAAGCGCAAACGACACAAGCCGGAGAAACCCAUCAUGAACAGAUAAUCACCAACCCAUAUCAAAGGCAAUUAUUGAAAGAUUAAACAUAAGAAGAUCAAAAUAAACCGAUGUACGGCAAAGAGAAAAACAAAACCGGCCAACUCCACUUGUGUAAACUAGAUGUUGCCGGACGAAAGCCGGCCAUCUCCACUAACGAAGCUAGAAGAUGCCAGACAAAAGCCCGAAACAGUCGGGACGGCAGUUCACCGGAAAAAUUCCGGUCGUGAGACUUGCACUGUUCCUCUCUCUAAAAGAUACGAGAGAGAGAAGAGAGAGGAAAGGCUUUGAUUGAGUUAAAGAAC
rnacentral:lncRNA from 1 species